rnacentral:rRNA from 1 species
CAUAUAGUCAAUAUAAGGAUUGAAAGGGAAUAAGAUUAAUAGUUCUUAAUCAAGAGAAUUAAUGAUUAAAUCUUAGAAAUAAGAUUAAAUCGAAUAAAAUGGUAACAUAUCAUGAACUUUAAAAUGGAGUGUGAAAAUCUACGGAAGAGUUCUCUUUUCUUCUUAACAAAAGUAAACUCCACUGAAAUGAAUCAAUCAGAGAAGUGGAAUUUAUUGGCUUUGUAAGAAAUUCAACAUAUGAUUGAAUUGUGGUAUUUUUGCAGUCUUCAUAAAAAUUAAAGGGAAUCUUAGCAUAAAGCUAAUUAAAGAAUUCUUUUGCUCGUACUAAUAACCGCAACAGGUCUCCAAGAAGCAAAAUCUUUAGUUAAAUAGAAUAACGCAGGUAAGGGAAGUCGGCAACAUAGCUCUGUAAGUUAGCAAGAAAGAGUAGCUCUGGUGAUUUCCUUGUAAAAGGAUUAAAAUCGAAUCAGAACUUUAAAGGUUAGGGGAAUCCGACUGUUUAAUAAAAACAUAGCAUUCUGAUAAAUCUAAAAGGUUCAUUACAGAAUGUGAUUUCUGCCCAGUGCUCUGAAUGUCAAGGUAAUGAAAUUUACUUAAGCGCGGGUUAACGGCGGGAGUAACUAUGACUCUCUUAAGGUAGCCAAAUGCCUCGUCAUCUAAUUAGUGACGCGCAUGAAUGGAUCACCGUGAUUCCCACUGUCCCUAUCUGCAAUCUAGUGAAACCACAGUCAAGGGAACGGGCUUGAUUGGAACGGCGGGGAAAGAAGACCCUGUUGAGCUUGACUCUAAUUUAUCAUGUGAAAUCGAUUUUUUUGGUAUAGGCUAGGUGGGAGACUUUGUCAAACGUGUAAUACCACCACUAGAAAUACUAUUUCACUCAUUUCGUUAAAUGUUAAAAUGGAUUUUCCAUUAAUUUAAAAACAUUAAAACUUCGGUUGAAACAGGCGAUUGAAAAAGAUAGACGGGGAGUUUGGCUGGGGCGGCACAUCUGUUACAAGAUAACGCAGGUGUCCAAAGAUGAACUCAAUGAGGACAGAAACCUCAUGUAGAAUAUAAGGGUAUAAGUUCAUUUGAUUAUUGAUUCCAGUACAAUCAAUAACUCUGAAAUGAUGGCCUAACGAUCCCUAAGAUUUUUAACUAGAAAAAAUUUAAAACAUAUUAGAUUUAUCUGAUGUGUGAGACCGUAAGGUGAUUUCUAGUUAAUCCUUUAAUAAUAAGGCUUGGGGUGUCAGAAAAGUUACCACAGGGAUAACUGGCUUGUGGCAGCCAAGCGCUCAUAGCGACGUUGCUUUUUGAUCCUUCGAUGUCGGCUCUUCCUAUCCAUUUCAAGCAGAAUUGAAAAAAGGUAUGAUUGUUCACCAUUUAAUAGGGAACGUGAGCUGGGUUUAGACCGUCGUGAGACAGGUUAGUUUUACCCUACCGUUUCGGUAGAUCUUCAAAGUAUUUAGAUAGUAGCACAACUCAGUACGAGAGGAACCGUUGUGUCACGCCACUGGAUUAUUCAAUUAUUUGAUCAAAUAGUGUUGAGAAUCUAACACGUGUUGAAAUAAUGGCUGAAAGCCUCUCAAGCCAGAAUUUCGUCUAGAUGAAUACUUUGUCUUUUUCUUGUUACUUUAGUACAAUUGAAAAUUAUAUACGUUGUAUUUAUUAUCUCGUGUAUUACUCUAUCAAAAGGGUAGUGAAUACUGAGUUAACAAAAUUCAAAGCAUAACUGUUGCUUAUAGACGAUGGCAUCAGAAAUCGGUGUUGUAAGCUUUAGAGUUUCUUAAUCAAUACUCUCGGGUAUUGAAUGAAACGAUUUGCUGAGACUUAACCGUAAUU